GACAUAAAGAGUCUGCCCUAUCGGGCGCAGAUGGUCGCAUUUUCACGAACCACGUGCGUUCGGUGGAAGCUGCCCGGAAGCGAAUCGAAAUUAUCACCAAUUUGCAGUCAUCGAAAUCCAAUUAUGGGGCGUGUGUGAGACCGGUUCCAGAUCCGUUUUGUAACCGAAAAGCAGGAGGACCUCGAAUCCUCUGCAGCCCAAGUGUGCCAUAUGCUGGCAGCGAGAUAUCCAAAAGUGCAGCGCGUUUUGGAAUAGAAAUGGGUGCAUUUACACUAUGCAACAAAGAUUUCACAGUCUAGAAAUCAGUUCUCAAAUACACACAUAUUUGUUUCAUUUUGCAUCAGUUAAUACAUAAUAUCGCCAAGAAAGUUUCAACCUAGUGUAAUCGGAUUAGGCUGGCUGCAGUUUCCUACCCAACUGGAGGGAAGCACAACGAAAAAAAAAACAUAAUUUGCGAGAAUUGUCACACGACACGGUUCGGGGGCACUUUGUACUGACUUAUUUGCAAUUUGCGAAAUGGAAGCUGCAGCGAAAGAGGAUGAAGGUCAUAGCAGCAGCAGGGUUGGCCAAGUGGAACUCGGCAGACGGGACACUAAAUCAUGCAUGUCAAGUCGAGUAGUUGUCCCGCUUCCAGCUCUAUCGAACUCAUCAUAAUCGCCACUGCGAAUACUCAUCAUUAUCGACUGCAUUUUCCCCAGGGGGUUAACGUUCUCCUUCCAAAAUAAUACACCCACCUCCUAAAUUUUUCGCUUAGUUCCGGCAUGCGACAGAUGCAACAGACGUGCAGACUUCCGGGGAACGGAGGUCUGAGGGUUUUGUGGUACGACCGCAAGAGGGUCUUAAAAAGGGCCACCCCAGCUAACCCCCAUACCAACCCCAAUAUUUUGUCCCCCCUUCGACGCUGUCACUGCUCAUUGUCAGCUAAGUGUCGAGGAGGUGGGGGACGUCCUUGGAGGGUGGGACGGUCGGUCAACAAGCCACAGGAGCAGCGACAGCCCUCGAAACGGAACCCAACAUUUCCAUUUUCAAGGGCCUUAAACCAACUUUUUUGCACUCAAGCAACCUGCCAGAUUACGUCUAUGUGGGAAGGUGAAAACCCUAGCAUGCACAGUGGGUUGAGGUGCAAAAGAGUGAUAAAAUCUUCAAAUUGAUGUAAAAUAAAGUAAGCAGUUUACCACGGUCCUAGGUUUUUAGCCGCAUUAUAAUAGAAAGUCAACCACUGUGGUUGCCAUCCACCGACAGAGCAUCACCACAUCAGCGGCAUCGGGAGCAUCAGGAGCAGCGAUGGCGGUGGCGACACAACAAAGGACGCAGAGACGAUAAGACGAUGGCAAAAGCAAAGGCAGCAGGCUCUCGUACCUUCCGCUGCAGCUACACUUGAAAUUUAGUAUCAGGCAUAACUAUAGAAAAAUAAUAUAAAUGGGUUUAAGGAUGAGACUAUUAACUAUAACUUAGAAGUAAAAGUAUAAAAAAUGUUUUUAUAUUUAAGAUAUAAAAUGUUAAAUAGUUCAGUUAAACAUUUUCCGUGCAGUGCAUGGAAAUUUUCAGGGUUAUGGAAAGGGAAAUGAUGAAGAGGGGGUGGAAAAUGAUUUCCACUUGGAAGCGACCAAAGGCAGCCGACACCCGCCAACAAUAAAAGCAAAUUCAAUGCGUUUUGUGAUAAUUUCGCACUACACGAGAAACGAUAAACCCAGGCA